GGAGGAAUGGGAGAGGAGCUUUCCACUCCUCUGAGAGUCAUGUCGAGAGUCUGUCUUAGCCCUCGACCCCUCAGUCUUUGUAGAUCUCAUCCCAGAACCCCGAGGGAGAGGUAAUUGCUGAAGGAUUUUUGCUUCAAACAGGCUCUUGUUUGCAUCAAGUGUGGGGUGCAGCAAAGUGGACUCGGGACUGGCCGAUGUCUGGCCAGAAAUGCCAGGCAAGGGAAACAGUGACUCUAGUGGGGUCAGGAGAGGGGCAUCUGCUGGCCCAGGAGCGCAAGGCAGAGGGACUUCAUUGUCCCCCUUAUAGGUGAGGCGACUCUGAGGCAGGAGGUCCAAGUUUGCUGGACAAUGGCAGAAACAGAAUUCAAACACCUGUCUUCUAGGAGAAGUUCUGGUCUCUCCUCGGUGCUGCGGCUGCCCCGGGAAGAGUUUCCAGGAGCUGACAAGCAUUCAGAUGAGUAAAGAUGGGAUCGGAUUGAGAAAAGGAGAAGGGAGAGCAUAUUCGUUCUCUUUCCACCUCCCUCCCACAGCCUUUCAUGCUGAUCUCAUCUGACGAAGCUGCCUCCUCCUCCCUGGACUCUACAAGCCCCUGUCAUGAUGUUUCUCAGAUCCUGAAUUCCAGCGAAACAGAUGAUACUAACAAGUUUGAAGACCCCCACAGAGGAAUGGAAUCAGUAUGAGAACACAGUUUCUUCAUCUCCCUGUCCCAGAACUUCACCCUGGACUCCUCGACCAAUCAACAAUCUCCACACUUCGGCCCACUCCAAAACUCCUAAAAUCCCAAGCUCCAAACUCCUCUGGGAGAUGGAUUUGAGGCUUCCUCCCGUUUCCUUGUGUGGAAGCCCUGUCAUUAAACCUCUUUCUCUGCUGCAA
rnacentral:lncRNA from 1 species